UACGGAGGAUGCAAGCGUUAUCCGGAAUGAUUGGGCGUAAAGCGUCCGCAGGUGGCUAUGUAAGUCUGCUGUUAAAGAGUGAGGCUCAACCUCAUAAGAGCAGUGGAAACUACAUGGCUAGAGUGCGUUCGGGGCAGAGGGAAUUCCUGGUGUAGCGGUGAAAUGCGUAGAGAUCAGGAAGAACACCGGCGGCGAAAGCGCUCUGCUAGGCCGCAACUGACACUGAGGGACGAAAGCUAGGGGAGCGAAUGGG
rnacentral:rRNA from 1 species